AGUGAACGCUGGCGGUAGGCCUAACACAUGCCAGUCGAACGGCAGCACAGUAAGAGCUUGCUCUUACGGGUGGCGAGUGGCGGACGGGUGAGGAAUACAUCGGAAUCUACUUUUUCGUGGGGGAUAACGUAGGGAAACUUACGCUAAUACCGCAUACGACCUACGGGUGAAAGCAGGGGAUCUUCGGACCUUGCGCGAUUGAAUGAGCCGAUGUCGGAUUAGCUAGUUGGCGGGGUAAAGGCCCACCAAGGCGACGAUCCGUAGCUGGUCUGAGAGGAUGAUCAGCCACACUGGAACUGAGACACGGUCCAGACUCCUACGGGAGGCAGCAGUGGGGAAUAUUGGACAAUGGGCGCAAGCCUGAUCCAGCCAUACCGCCUGGGUGAAGAAGGCCUUCGGGUUGUAAAGCCCUUUUGUUGGGAAAGAAAAGCAGCAGGUUAAUACCCCGCUGUUCUGACGGUACCCAAAGAAUAAGCACCGGCUAACUUCGUG
rnacentral:rRNA from 1 species